UAAUACGAGGGGUCCUAGCGUUGUUCGGAAUCAUUGGGCGUAAAGGGUGUGUAGGUGGCCAUGUAAGUCAGGUGUGAAAGCCCCGGGCUCAACCCGGGAAGUGCAUUUGAUACUGCGUGGCUUGAGUACCGAAGAGGGUAGUGGAAUUCCAGGUGUAGUGGUGAAAUACGUAGAUAUCUGGAGGAACACCGGUGGCGAAGGCGGCUACCUGGUCGAGUACUGACACUGAGACACGAAAGCAUGGGGAUCAAACAGG
rnacentral:rRNA from 1 species